rnacentral:lncRNA from 1 species
CGACCAUUCAUUCUUCAAUAAAAUAAUAUUACACACAAAUCUAAAAAAAUUUCUUAUUUUUUAACCACAUAUUUCCCAUCAAUACACUAUUCAAAAAUCCAUUCUCUUCCCCAAAAAUGGGGUUGAAAAAACUAUCUAAGAUUGAUUUCCCACGGUUUAGGGUAGAUGGACCUAGGGAAUGGUUGGGGAAAGCCUGGAAGUAUUUCCAACUUCAUCAAGUCCCUGAAGAACUGAAAGGUAGGAUUGCAGAUAUGUACUUAAAGGAGAAAGCAAACAUAUGGUUUGAUUGCUUCUUUGCAAGCCAUCCUUAUACAGAUUGGGGCUUAUUCUCUGAGGUGACCUGCAGAAGGUUUUCAUUCACCACUGGGAGAGGAAAUGAUUGAAUCAUUUAGCAAGAUUAAACAAUUGGGCUCAAUGACUUAACACUAACAGAGGUUUGAAAAGAAGUCCCAGGUAAUGUCAGCAUUGCCUCAUGCUCCAGAGUCAAACUACAUAUUUGUUUUUACCAGUGGAUUAAAAGGACAGAUAACAUCCAUGGUCAUAAUGAUGAAGCCAAAUGCCUUAUCCAAGGCCUUUGAAAUUACCUGCCUUCAAAAAUCAACCAUCCUAACCACUAACAGAUUCCAAAAACCUAAAAACUUCUUACCAAACCAUAACAAAUGGAGUUUCCAUCCUUCAAAAGCUCCUAAUGAAACAAAACCCAAUGAACCAUAGCCCAAAGUCAAUAAAUCAACAAACAAUUACAAGACCAUCACACCCACUGAAUUCUAAACCAAAAGAAAUAUGGGGCUUUGUCAUAAAUUUGAUGAGAAAUAUAUCACAGGACAUAUCUGCAAAAAAUAGGUCCCUGAAUCUUAUGUUGAUAGAUGAAGAUGAGAAGAGUGGGCCAGAGGAGGACAAAAAAUCUGAAUCAGAAGAUGGACAAGAGGGUAAUGAGAUAAUGGAGAUCUCUAUUAGUGCCUCGGCUGGAAGUUUAAAGCAUAAGACAACAAGAGUCCUUGGAAAAAUCAAGGGAAGGAAGAUCUCUAUCUUGGUAGAUAGUGGGAGUACUCACAGCUUUAUAGAUGAGAGGCCGGU